rnacentral:rRNA from 1 species
UACGUACGAGGCGAGCGUUAUCCGGAUUUAUUGGGUUUAAAGGGUGCGUAGGCGGCCUAUUAAGUCAGGGGUGAAAGACGGUAGCUUAACUAUCGCAGUGCCUUUGAUACUGAUGGGCUUGAAUGAACUAGAGGUAGGCGGAAUGUGACAAGUAGCGGUGAAAUGCAUAGAUAUGUCACAGAACACCAAUUGCGAAGGCAGCUUACUAUGGUUUUAUUGACGCUGAGGCACGAAAGCGUGGGGAUCAAACAGG